ensembl:lncRNA
GUUUAUUGCUUAGUCUGACACACGGUCCAAAAGGAGACCCGGCUCACCAGUGAGAGAGGCCUGGACCAGUGAGGGAGGCCUGGACCAGUGAGAGAGGCCUGGACCAGUGAGAGAGGCCUGGACCAGUGAGAGAGGCCUGGGACCAGUGAGAGAGGCCUGGGACCAGUGAGAGAGGCCUGGACCAGUGAGAGAGGCCUGGACCAGUGAGAGAGGCCUGGACCAGUGAGAGAGGCCUGGGACCAGUGAGAGAGGCCUGGACCAGUGAGAGAGGCUGGGACCAGUGAGAGAGGCCGGGACCAGUGAGAGAGGCCUGGGACCAGUGAGAGAGGCCUGGACCAGUGAGAGAGGCCUGGACCAGUGAGAGAGGCCUGGACCAGUGAGAGAGGCCUGGGACCAGUGAGAGAGGCCUGGACCAGUGAGAGAGGCUGGGACCAGUGAGAGGGGCUGGGACCAGUGAGAGAGGCUGGGACCAGUGAGAGGGGCUGGGACCAGUGAGAGAGGCUGGGACCAGUGAGAG